rnacentral:rRNA from 1 species
GAUGAACGCUGGCGGCGUGCCUAAUACAUGCAAGUCGAGCGAACAGAUGAGGAGCUUGCUCCUCGGACGUUAGCGGCGGACGGGUGAGUAACACGUGUAUAACCUACCUAUAAGACUGGGAUAACUUCGGGAAACCGGAGCUAAUACCGGAUAAUAUAUUGAACCGCAGGGUUCAAUAGUGAAAGACGGUUUUGCUGUCACUUAUAGAUGGAUCCGCGCCGCAUUAGCUAGUUGGUAAGGUAACGGCUUACCAAGGCAACGAUGCGUAGCCGACCUGAGAGGGGGGUAGGCCACCCUGGAGCUGAGCCACGGACAAGACUACUACGGGACGCCGCAGUAGGGAACCUGACGCAAUAGGCGAAAGCAUUACGGAGCAGCGCGGAGUGAGUGAUAGCGAUCUCCGGAUCGUAAUACUCUGUUAUUAGGGAAGAACCACUGUGUACGUAACUAUGCACGUAUUGACGGUAACUAAUAAGAAAGCCACGGCUAACUACGUG